UUGUAAAUGUGUAGACUCCUCAGAAUGGAACUAACUUGAGCCCUUCGUUCCCCAGCCGAGGCUCACUGCCCCCCGGAUGGGCAGUGAGUCGGUGGGUU
rfam:Equus caballus chromosome 24, whole genome shotgun sequence.